rnacentral:rRNA from 1 species
CCCUUAGAUGUUCUGGGCUGCACGCGCGCUACACUGAUGCGUUCAACGAGUGUACAUCCUUGCCCGUUAGGGUUGGGUAAUCUUUUGAACACGCAUCGUGAUGGGGAUAGAUUAUUGCAAUUAUUAAUCUUCAACGAGGAAUUCCUAGUAAUGGUGAAUCAUCAGUUCAUCGUGAUUACGUCCCUGCCCUUUGUACACACCGCCCGUCGCUCCUACCGAUGAAUCGUCCGGUGAAGUUCAUGGAGUCGCGGCUGCUCCAGCUGUUUUCGAAGUGAAAUGGACCUCAUGAUUUAGAGGAAGGAGAAGUCGUANCA